GUUUUGUUCUGAAACUUUGGGUUUUUCCCUUCACAGGCUAUAUGUCGAGUGAGAGCUAACACACCACUUGACUGCCCUGCAGGCUGGACUUGGUACAACGGUCGCUGUUUCGUGUAUGUGAAAAAUGCAAGGAGAUGGAUUGUGGCAGAGAAACAUUGCCUCUCAUUGGAUGGAAAUCUGGCUUCAUUCCGCAGUGCAGAGGAGUACAACUUCAUCAGACAGCUUGUCUACAAUGGAGCUCUAAGAAACGAACAAAUUUGGCUUGGAGGUCAUGAUUCAACGCAGGUGAGAUUAAAAAGCACAAAUAAGUGUCUGGUUGAUCACUUUUUAUGUUAAUAUGCAUUUCUUCUGGCACUUUGUGUAAAUGCUUUGAGACGACAUUUGUUGUUAAUUGGCAUUUUAUAAAUGAACUGAAUUGAACAGGUGUUCCUAAUAAAGUGGUCAGUUCAGUCAAAGAC